UACGUAGGUGGCAAGCGUUGUCCGGAUUUAUUGGGUUUAAAGGGUGCGUAGGCGGCUUUAUAAGUCAGUGCUGAAAUAUCCCGGCUUAACCGGGAGGGUGGCAUUGAUACUGCAGAGCUUGAGUGAAGUCGAGGUAGGCGGAAUUGACGGUGUAGCGGUGAAAUGCUUAGAUAUCGUCAAGAACACCGAUAGUGAAGACAGCUUACUAGACUUCGACUGACGCUGAGGCACGAAAGUGUGGGGAUCAAACAGG
rnacentral:rRNA from 1 species